CGAGCGGCGGGGGUGAGUAAUACUUAGGAAUCUACCUAGUAGUGGGGGAUAGCUCGGGGAAACUCGAAUUAAUACCGCAUACGACCUACGGGAGAAAGGGGGCAGUUUACUGCUCUCGCUAUUAGAUGAGCCUAAGUCGGAUUAGCUAGAUGGUGGGGUAAAGGCCUACCAUGGCGACGAUCUGUAGCUGGUCUGAGAGGAUGAUCAGCCACACCGGAACUGAGACACGGUCCGGACUCCUACGGGAGGCAGCAGUGGGGAAUAUUGGACAAUGGGGGCAACCCUGAUCCAGCCAUGCCGCGUGUGUGAAGAAGGCCUUUUGGUUGUAAAGCACUUUAAGCAGUGAAGAAGACUCCGUGGUUAAUACCCACGGACGAUGACAUUAGCUGCAGAAUAAGCACCGGCUAACUCUGUGCCAGCAGCCGCGGUAAUACAGAGGGUGCAAGCGUUAAUCGGAAUUACUGGGCGUAAAGCGAGCGUAGGUGGCUUGAUAAGUCAGAUGUGAAAUCCCCGGGCUUAACCUGGGAACUGCAUCUGAUACUGUUAGGCUAGAGUAGGUGAGAGGAAGGUAGAAUUCCAGGUGUAGCGGUGAAAUGCGUAGAGAUCUGGAGGAAUACCGAUGGC
rnacentral:rRNA from 1 species